rnacentral:snoRNA from 12 species
GCAUGGCUGAAUACUGUGUUCUUUUUAUCAGUAAUUUGCACAGCCAGACACCAUGCAAAAGUAUCAUCUUCCCUUUAAAAUGUUUAUGAUGUAUGCUAACUUUUUCUCAUGGCAUAUCAUUAUUAAAGGUGAAUACAAAU